UUUAUCUCAUUUUUGCCCAAAUUUCUUCCUGACUCCCGAAUUUCACAACUGAAAUUUAUGUCUGAUGUCCUCACUAUUCUAUCUAAUUCUCUCCCCAAUUUCACUACUGAUGUGAAGGUUUUUCAAUUGUCAUCCUCACAUAACUGCAAUCCUUUUUUUAAUAGCUGCAGAUUUAUUCUCCAGAUUAUGUGUCCUUCCUUCGGCUAGAUUCACCCGUAUAGCCGAUCAGAUCGACAGUGGGUUGAACAGAAACCUGUGAAUUUAAGACUUAAAUGUGUAGCCUAACAACAUGUGGACUUUGCUAUUCAAGGCUCUGAGAUAUUACAAGUCUUGCUUUGAUUAUCUGCUUUCUGAGAUGACCAAGAAGGUAAGGUUAAUGAUCCUGACUCAGAGAGAAGGACUGUUCAUGAUAAAUGGACAAUUUCCAGUAAAAGUAUCAUGAUGUUGUGACAAAGUUCAUUGAGGGACUUAUUAAUCGCGUGUUCCAGGUUGCAAUAUCGAAAUGGUUUUCCUGAGUAUUUUCCGAAAAACAGCAAUUAGGAAUAGAGAAUAUAUAUCAAAGAAAGGUCUAACUGUUGGAAUCAACGUCAAGUUAAGGUUAUCUUGAGUGCUGAUGUUUCUGGUGAAAAAAUAUGACAAGAUCGCGUGAAUA